rnacentral:sRNA from 1 species
CGGACUCCUUUGCACUUGGCUUCGGCGACCUGCCGCUUCGGGCCGAGUUCUCAAACACUGCAUCUUUGCGUCGGAGUUUAAACAAAUUAAACAAAACUUUCAACAACGGAUCUCUUGGUUCUGGCAUCGAUGAAGAACGCAGCGAAAUGCGAUAAGUAAUGUGAAUUGCAGAAUUCAGUGAAUCAUCGAAUCUUUGAACGCACAUUGCGCCCUUUGGUAUUCCGAAGGGCAUGCCUGUUCGAGCGUCAUUUCACCACUCAAGCCUGGCUUGGUAUUGGGCGUCGCGGUUUUCCGCGCGCCUUAAAGUCUUCCGGCUGAGCUGUCCGUCUCUAAGCGUUGUGGAUUUUUCAAUUCGCUUCGGAGUGCGGAUGGCCGCGGCCGUUAAAUCUUUAUUCAAAGG